rnacentral:rRNA from 1 species
AGAGUUUGAUCCUGGCUCAGGAUGAACGCUGGCGGCGUGCCUAAUGCAUGCAAGUCGAGCGACGCAUACCGGAGGGGUAACCCACUGGUAUGACGGAGCGGCGAACGGGUGAGUAACACGUGAGUAACCUGCCCCACAGACCGGGACAGCCCAGGGGAACCUGGAUUAAUACCGGAUAUCCUCGAAGGAUCGCAUGAUCUUCCGAGGAAAUGCCUUUGUGCUGUGGGAUGGGCUCGCGACUUAUCAGCUAGUUGGUGGGGUAACGGCCUACCAAGGCGUCGACGAGUAGCUGGUCUGAGAGGACGAUCAGCCACACUGGGACUGAGACACGGCCCAGACUCCUACGGGAGGCAGCAGCAGGGAAUCUUGCGCAAUGGGCGAAAGCCUGACGCAGCAACGCCGCGUGGGGGAUGAAGGCCUUCGGGUUGUAAACCCCUUUCAGGAGGGAAGAAAUUGACGGUACCUCCAAAAGAAGCACCGGCCAACUACGUGCCAGCAGCCGCGGUAAUACGUAGGGUGCGAGCGUUAUCCGGAAUCAUUGGGCGUAAAGAGCUCGUAGGCGGUUCAGUAAGUCGGCUGUGAAAUUUCGAGGCUCAACCUCGAAACUGCAGUCGAAACUGCUGUGACUCGAGUCCGGUAGAGGAGAAUG